rnacentral:rRNA from 1 species
CGGGGGGGCGAAGCGUUGUUCGGAAUUACUGGGCGUAAAGGGCGCGUAGGCGGCCUGCUAAGUCACACGUGAAAUCCCUCGGCUCAACCGGGGAACUGCGUGUGAUACUGGCGGGCUUGAAUUCGGGAGAGGGAUGUGGAAUUCCAGGUGUAGCGGUGAAAUGCGUAGAUAUCUGGAGGAACACCGGUGGCGAAGGCGGCAUCCUGGACCGAGAUUGACGCUGAGGCGCGAAAGCUAGGGGAGCAAACGGGAUUAGAUACCCCGGUAGUCCUAGCCCUAAACGAUGAGUGCUUGGUGUGGCGGGUAUCGAUCCCUGCCGUGCCGAAGCUAACGCAUUAAGCACUCCGCCUGGGGAGUACGGUCGCAAGGCUG